rnacentral:rRNA from 1 species
UACGUAGGGGGCAAGCGUUGUCCGGAUUUAUUGGGCGUAAAGAGCGUGUAGGCGGUUUGGUAGGUCCGCUGUGAAAACUCGAGGCUCAACCUCGAGACGCCGGUGGAAACCAUCAGACUAGAGUCCGGAAGAGGCGAGUGGAAUUCCUGGUGUAGCGGUGAAAUGCGCAGAUAUCAGGAGGAACACCAAUUGCGAAGGCAGCUCGCUGGGACGUAACUGACGCUGAGACGCGAAAGCGUGGGGAGCAAACAGG